AGACCCGAAACCCGGUGAUCUAGCCAUGGGCAGGUUGAAGGUUGGGUAACACUAACUGGAGGACCGAACCGACUAAUGUUGAAAAAUUAGCGGAUGACCUGUGGCUGGGGGUGAAAGGCCAAUCAAACCGGGAGAUAGCUGGUUCUCCCCGAAAGCUAUUUAGGUAGCGCCUCGUGAAUUCAUCUCCGGGGGUAGAGCACUGUUUCGGCUAGGGGGCCAUCCCGGCUUACCAACCCGAUGCAAACUGCGAAUACCGGAGAAUGUUAUCACGGGAGACACACGGCGGGUGCUAACGUCCGUCGUGAAGAGGGAAACAACCCAGACCGCCAGCUAAGGUCCCAAAGUCAUGGUUAAGUGGGAAACGAUGUGGGAAGGCCCAGACAGCCAGGAUGUUGGCUUAGAAGCAGCCAUCAUUUAAAGAAAGCGUAAUAGCUCACUGGUCGAGUCGGCCUGCGCGGAAGAUGUAACGGGGCUAAACCAUGCACCGAAGCUGCGGCAGCGACACUCAGGUGUUGUUGGGUAGGGGAGCGUUCUGUAAGCCUGUGAAGGUGGCCUGUGAGGGUUGCUGGAGGUAUCAGAAGUGCGAAUGCUGACAUAAGUAACGAUAAAGCGGGUGAAAAGCCCGCUCGCCGGAAGACCAAGGGUUCCUGUCCAACGUUAAUCGGGGCAGGGUGAGUCGACCCCUAAGGCGAGGCCGAAAGGCGUAGUCGAUGGGAAACGGGUUAAUAUUCCCGUACUUGGUGUUACUGCGAAGGGGGGACGGAGAAGGCUAUGUUGGCCGGGCGACGGUUGUCCCGGUUUAAGCGUAUAGGUGUGUGUUCCAGGUAAAUCCGGUUCACUUUAACACUGAGGCGUGAUGACGAGGCGCUACGGUGCUGAAGCAACAAAUGCCCUGCUUCCAGGAAAAGCCUCUAAGCAUCAGGUAACAUCAAAUCGUACCCCAAACCGACACAGGUGGUCAGGUAGAGAAUACCAAGGCGCUUGAGAGAACUCGGGUGAAGGAACUAGGCAAAAUGGUGCCGUAACUUCGGGAGAAGGCACGCUGACAUGUAGGUGAAGUGAUUUACUCACGGAGCUGAAGUCAGUCGAAGAUACCAGCUGGCUGCAACUGUUUAUUAAAAACACAGCACUGUGCAAACACGAAAGUGGACGUAUACGGUGUGACGCCUGCCCGGUGCCGGAAGGUUAAUUGAUGGGGUCAGCGCAAGCGAAGCUCCUGAUCGAAGCCCCGGUAAACGGCGGCCGUAACUAUAACGGUCCUAAGGUAGCGAAAUUCCUUGUCGGGUAAGUUCCGACCUGCACGAAUGGCGUAAUGAUGGCCAGGCUGUCUCCACCCGAGACUCAGUGAAAUUGAACUCGCUGUGAAGAUGCAGUGUACCCGCGGCAAGACGGAAAGACCCCGUGAACCUUUACUAUAGCUUGACACUGAACAUUGAGCCUUGAUGUGUAGGAUAGGUGGGAGGCUUUGAAGUGUGGACGCCAGUCUGCAUGGAGCCGACCUUGAAAUACCACCCUUUAAUGUUU
rnacentral:rRNA from 2 species